UUUGGGGCAUCUCUUCUCUCGGUUUCUCUAUCUCUAUCACAUCGCAUAUACUCCUCUCAGCAGCUCAGCCCCUACGGUGUCGCCUACUUCCUUCCUCUCUGUCUCCUCCCUCCGGCUACUGCCCAAACGAACGGAACGGAACGAAACAGCCCAACCUCUUCCUCUCUGUCUCUCUCAUCAUCUCCUCCUCUUCCUCUCUGUUUUGCUUAUCCCUUUGCCCAAACGAAACGAACGGAACGGACCGACACCAAGCAAACGCGACUCGGCGACAGCACUGCCCAGCCCACUCCGGCGACUGCUUCACGGACACAGUGCCUUCCCACUCCGGCGACUGCUUCACUCACGGACACAGUGACUCGAGGAAUGCAGCUUCGUUAAAACAGAACCCCUUGUCUCUUGUCAGAGAUCAUCGAGCAAAGGAGGUUAUAACUUCUCGAGGCAUGGCUGUGCUUGAAUGAACUGUGUCCCCAUUUGAUUGUUGGAAAAUGAAGAUUUUAGAGGCCAAUGCUGGUCCACUUACCAAUUUUGAAGUGAUCAAAUUUCUAAAAUCUAGAGGAGCCUUAAAAGAUCCGUCUCGGGUUCUUGCUGAUGUAGCCCCAUCUGAGUAUAAAGUUUGUAUAUUUUGUUUUGUUUUUCCUCAGUGGAUUAAAUUAGUGGUAAUUCCUUGGAGGGUGCUGUUGGAGUGAUAGUAAUUAAUCAUAUCUCCAUUAUCAGAACAAUUCCUCAAACCUUUAUUCUUCCUGCAUCUCAUCUCAAUGCCUCUCAGGGAAAUUUUGUAUAUGAAUAUUUGAAGAUUGCUAAGAAUCCUAUAGCCUACAUAUCUCGGGGAAAGAUUGAAUUGGAAGUAAAACCAUCACCAAUUAUGGCUUCAUUCUCAUCAAGAGGACCUAAUGCCCUAGAACCAUCAAUAUGGAUAUAUAUUGGAAAACACUAUUAAUUAUUAAAA